GUUGCGGCGGCCUCUCAUUCGCUUGGUGCAGGUCGGGACCUACCUCGCCGGCAACAAUGGCGGUAGCUGACGGCGACGGCAGCUUACCGGUAAAAACUAUUUUUUUACAUGUUGUCUGUGGCGUAGUUUGGGUCCCGCCUUGCAUCAACUGAAUAGGAGACUGCGGUGAAA
rnacentral:pre_miRNA from 1 species